rnacentral:rRNA from 1 species
CAGCAGCCGCGGUAAUACGUAGGGUGCAAGCGUUAAUCGGAAUUACUGGGCGUAAAGCGUGCGCAGGCGGUUUCGUAAGACAGAUGUGAAAUCCCCGGGCUUAACCUGGGAACUGCAUUUGUGACUGCGAGGCUAGAGUGUGUCAGAGGGGGGUGGAAUUCCACGUGUAGCAGUGAAAUGCGUAGAUAUGUGGAGGAACACCGAUGGCGAAGGCAGCCCCUGGGAUAACACUGACGCUCAUGCACGAAAGCGUGGGGAGCAAACAGGAUUAGAGACCCGAGUAGUCCCUGUCUCUUAUACA